rnacentral:rRNA from 1 species
GCGAGAAUAUUUCGCAAUGGGCGAAAGCCUGACGAAGCGACACCGCGUGUUUGAAUAAGCCCUUCGGGGUGUAAAGAACUUUUCUCCAUGAACAAGCUUCGGCUGAGUGUAGUGGGGGAAUAAGAGGAGGCUAAUCACGUGCCAGAAGCCUCGGUAAUACGUGAUCCUCAAGUGUUAUCCGGAUUUAUUGGGCGUAAAGCGUCCGUAGGCGGUCAAAUAAGUCUUUGGUUAAAGCCUCAUGGCUCAACUAUGAGAAUGCCAGAGAUACUGUUUGACUAGAGGGUGUUAGGGGCUGAUGGAACGGUCGGUGUAGGG